rnacentral:rRNA from 1 species
UACGUAGGGGGCGAGCGUUGUCCGAAGUUACUGGGCGUAAAGCGCGCGUAGGCGGUCAUUUAAGUCUGAGGUGAAAGGUUCAGCGCUCAACGUGAACAGUGCCUUGGAUACUGGGUGACUUGAGUUCGGGAGGGGGCAGUGGAAUUCCAGGUGUAGCGGUGAAAUGCGUAGAUAUCUGGAGGAACACCGGUGGCGAAGGCGGCAUCCUGGACCGGUAUUGACGCUGAGGCGCGAAAGCUAGGGGAGCAAACGGG